UUCUGACCGCACUAACCAUGCCUAGGAAGGAAAGGAGUUGUUGUUUUGUAGAAGGGAUUGGGGUUUGGGAGAUUAGUCAGACACGAUCAGCAGGGAGAGCACGUGUGAGAAUUAUGCUGAGAUAGGUAACAGAUGAGGAAGAAAUCUGGGCUUGACUGAAGUAAUGGGAGCUGUCUGUGAAGCCUUGCAGCAGUACUGCUCAGGUAAACAGCCCUGGGACAAAGAACAGACUACGGGUAUUGCCUUCUUAAUCAACAAUAAAGUAUUAGUUGGCUUCCAGGCAGACACCACUGACUUUCAAGAGAAAGGCACGGGAGUAAGGAAGUAAAGAAUUCAGUUAGAAAAAUGAAAAAUACUGAUACAGCAGACGAAUUCUGGAACUAACACUUCCACAAAUCAUUGAUAAUCCAUUUUCCAACUUCUUCAAAUUCCAGACCAUCAACAAGCUAUUCAAAACAAUAAAUGUUAAUAGUUUUGGUGGAGUUAAGCAGCAGAAGUUAAAAGCAUUGUGGAAGACAGUAUGGUGAUUCCUCAAGGAUCUAGAAGCGGAAAUACCAUUUGACCCAGCAAUCCCAUUAUUGGGUAUGUACCCAAAGGAUUAUAAAUCAUUCUACUAUAAAGACACAUGCACACAUAUGCUUAUUGCAGCACUAUUUACAAUAGCAAAGACUUGGAACUAACCCAAAUGUCCAUCAAUGAUAGACUGGAUAAAGAAAAUGUGGUACAUAUACACCAUGUAAUACUAUGCAGCCAUAAAAAGGAAUGAGAUCAUUCCCUUUGCAGCGACAUGGAUGAAGCUGAAAGACAUCAUCCUCAGCAAACUAACACCAGAACAGAAAACCAAACACCACAUAUUCUCAUUUAUAAGUGGGAGUUGAACAUUGAGAA
rnacentral:lncRNA from 1 species